rnacentral:misc_RNA from 1 species
GAUGAAGAACGUAGCGAAAUGCGAUACUUGGUGUGAAUUGCAGAAUCCCGUGAACCAUCGAGUCUUUGAACGCAAGUUGCGCCCGAAGCCAUUAGGCCGAGGGCACGCCUGCCUGGGCGUCACACGUCGUUGCCCCCCCAUCUACUCCUUCGGGAUUGCGGGGGGCGGAUGAUGGCCUCCCGUGCGCCUCGUCGCGCGGUUGGCCUAAAUGCCAAGUCCUCGGCGACGCACGCCACGACAAUCGGUGGUUGCGAAACCUCGGUUGCCUGUCGUGUGCGGUCGUCGCGCAUCGAGGGCUCGAAAAAAUUGCCGGGCUUCGGCUCGACUUUCAACGCGACCCCAGGUCAGGCGGGGUUACCCGCUGAAUUUAAGCAUAUCAUAAGCGGAGGA